rnacentral:rRNA from 1 species
CCGUGAUCCGGUUCGGGGACAGUGUCUGGUGGGUAGUUUAACUGGGGCGGUUGCCUCCCAAAAGGUAACGGAGGCGCCCAAAGGUUCCCUCAGCCUGGUUGGUAAUCAGGUGUCGAGUGUAAGUGCACAAGGGAGCUUGACUGUGAGACGGACGUGUCGAGCAGGAGCGAAAGCUGGGACUAGUGAUCCGGCACCGGCGUGUGGAAGCGGUGUCGCUCAACGGCUAAAAGGUACCCCGGGGAUAACAGGCUGAUCUUCCCCAAGAGUCCAUAUCGACGGGAUGGUUUGGCACCUCGAUGUCGGCUCGUCGCAUCCUGGGGCUGGAGUUGGUCCCAAGGGUUGGGCUGUUCGCCCAUUAAAGCGGCACGCGAGCUGGGUUUAGAACGUCGUGAGACAGUUCGGUCCCUAUCCGCUGUGCGCGUUGGAGACUUGAGAAGGGCUGUCCCUAGUACGAGAGGACCGGGACGGACGAACCUCUGGUGUGCCAGUUGUCCUGCCAAGGGCAUGGCUGGUUGGCUACGUUCGGGAGGGAUAACCGCUGAAAGCAUCUAAGCGGGAAGCCUGCUUCGAGAUGAGGUCUCCUGCCUCCUUUGAGAGGGUAAGGCCCCCUAUAGACGAUGGGGUUGAUAGGCCGGGUGUGGAAGCCUUGUGAGGGGUGGAGCUGACCGGUACUAAUAGGCCGAGGGCUUGUCCGC